rnacentral:rRNA from 1 species
UACGUAGGGCGCGAGCGUUGUCCGGAAUUAUUGGGCGUAAAGAGCUCGUAGGCGGCCUGUUGCGUCCGCUGUGAAAUCCCGGGGCUCAACCCCGGGCUUGCAGUGGAUACGGGCUGGCUAGAGGCAGGCAGGGGAGAACGGAAUCCCCGGUGUAGCGGUGAAAUGCGCAGAUAUCGGGAGGAACACCGGUGGCGAAGGCGGUUCUCUGGGCCUGUACUGACGCUGAGGAGCGAAAGCGUGGGGAGCGAACAGG